GAUGAACGCUGGCGGCGUGCCUAAUACAUGCCAGUCGAGCGAACGGACGAGAAGCUUGCUUCUCUGAUGUUAGCGGCGGACGGGUGAGUAACACGUGGAUAACCUACCUAUAAGACUGGGAUAACUUCGGGAAACCGGAGCUAAUACCGGAUAAUAUUUUGAACCGCAUGGUUCAAAAGUGAAAGACGGUCUUGCUGUCACUUAUAGAUGGAUCCGCGCUGCAUUAGCUAGUUGGUAAGGUAACGGCUUACCAAGGCAACGAUGCAUAGUCGACCUGAGAGGGGAACCGGCCACACUGGAACUGAACCACGGUCCAAACUCCUACGGAAGGCAGAAGUAGGGAAUCUGCGGAAAUGGGCGAAAGCCUGACGGAGCAACGCCGCGUGAGUGAUGAAGGUCUUCGGAUCGUAAAACUCUGUUAUUAGGGAAGAAAAUAUGGGCAAGUAACUGUGAACAUCUUGACGGUACCUAAUCAGAAAGCCACGGCUAACUACGU
rnacentral:rRNA from 1 species